CGGGGCAUAGUAUAGUGGUAGUACGCAGGCUUCGGGAGUCUGUAGUCUCGGUUCGAUUCCGAGUGCCCCGA
rfam:Parcubacteria bacterium GW2011_GWB1_45_7 TX16_C0011, whole genome shotgun sequence.